AUUGAACGCUGGCGGCAGGCCUAACACAUGCAAGUCGAGCGAGCGGCGGACGGGUGAGUAAUGUAUGGGGACUGCCCGAUCGAGGGGGAUAACUACUGGAAACGGUGGCUAAUACCGCAUACUAUCGGAUAACCCAUAUGGGAUUAGCUAGUAGGUGGGGUAAAGGCUCACCUAGGCGACGAUCUCUAGCUGGUCUGAGAGGGUGAUCAGCCACACUGGGACUGAGACACGGCCCAGACGCCUACGGAGGCAGCAGUGGGGAAUAUUGGACAAUGGGCGCAAGCCUGAUGCAGCCACGCCGCGUGUAUGAAGAAGGCCUUAGGGUUGUAAAGUACUGUCAGCGGGGAGGCGGUAUCCGAAGAAGAAGCACCGGCUAACUCCGUGCCAGCAGCCGCGGUAAUUC
rnacentral:rRNA from 1 species